rnacentral:rRNA from 1 species
CACUCCUACGGGAGGCAGCAGUGGGGAAUAUUGGACAAUGGGCGCAAGCCUGAUCCAGCCAUGCCGCGUGAGUGAUGAAGGCCCUAGGGUUGUAAAGCUCUUUCACCGGUGAAGAUAAUGACGGUAACCGGAGAAGAAGCCCCGGCUAACUUCGUGCCAGCAGCCGCGGUAAUACGCAGGGGGCUAGCGUUGUUCGGAUUUACUGGGCGUAAAGCGCACGUAGGCGGACUAUUAAGUCAGGGGUGAAAUCCCGGGGCUCAACCCCGGAACUGCCUUUGAUACUGGUAGUCUUGAGUUCGAGAGAGGUGAGUGGAAUUCCGAGUGUAGAGGUGAAAUUCGUAGAUAUUCGGAGGAACACCAGUGGCGAAGGCGGCUCACUGGCUCGAUACUGACGCUGAGGUGCGAAAGCGUGGGGAGCAAACAGGAUUAGAUACCCGUGUAGUCCC